rnacentral:rRNA from 1 species
GACGAACGCUGGCGGCGUGCCUAACACAUGCAAGUCGAACGGGGUAAGAAGCUUCGGUUUCUUACUUAGUGGCGAACGGGUGAGUAACGCGUGAGAAACCUGCCUUUCAGUGGGGGACAACAGUUGGAAACGACUGCUAAUACCGCAUAAUGUUAUUUGGGGGCAUCCCUGAAUAACCAAAGAUUUAUUGCUGAAAGAUGGUCUCGCGUCUGAUUAGCUAGAUGGCGGGGUAACGGCCCACCAUGGCGACGAUCAGUAGCCGGUCUGAGAGGAUGAACGGCCACAUUGGGACUGAGGUACGGCCCAGACUCCUACGGGAGGCAGCAGUGGGGAAUAUUGGCAAUGGGGGAAACCCUGACCCAGCAACGCCGCGUGAAGGAAGAAGGCCUUCGGGUUGUAAACUUCUUUUACCAGGGACGAACAAAUGACGGUACCUGGAGAAAAAGCAACGGCUAACUACGUGCCAGCCGCCGCGGUAAUAC